GUGGGGAAUUUUGGACAAUGGGCGCAAGCCUGAUCCAGCCAUGCCGCGUGUCUGAAGAAGGCCUUCGGGUUGUAAAGGACUUUUGUCAGGGAAGAAAAGGCUGUUGCUAAUAUCGACAGCUGAUGACGGUACCUGAAGAAUAAGCACCGGCUAACUACGUGCCAGCAGCCGCGGUAAUACGUAGGGUGCGAGCGUUAAUCGGAAUUACUGGGCGUAAAGCGAGCGCAGACGGUUACUUAAGCAGGAUGUGAAAUCCCCGGGCUCAACCUGGGAACUGCGUUCUGAACUGGGUGACUAGAGUGUGUCAGAGGGAGGUAGAAUUCCACGUGUAGCAGUGAAAUGCGUAGAGAUGUGGAGGAAUACCGAUGGCGAAGGCAGCCUCCUGGGAUAACACUGACGUUCAUGCUCGAAAGCGUGGGUAGCAAACAGGAUUAGAUACCCUGGUAGUCCACGCCCUAAACGAUGUCAAUUAGCUGUUGGGCAACUUGAUUGCUUAGUAGCGUAGCUNACGCGUGAAAUUGACCGCCUGGGGAGUACGGUCGCAAGAUU
rnacentral:rRNA from 1 species